rnacentral:rRNA from 1 species
GACGAACGCUGGCGGCGUGCUUAACACAUGCAAGUCGAGCGGUAAGGCCCUUUCGGGGGUACACGAGCGGCGAACGGGUGAGUAACACGUGGGUGACCUGCCCUCAGCUCUGGGAUAAGCCUGGGAAACCGGGUCCAAUACCGGAUAUGACUCCAUGACGCAUGUUGUGGGGUGGAAAGCCUUGUGCGGCUGAGGAUGGGCCCGCGGCCUAUCAGCUUGUUGGUGGGGUGAUGGCCUACCAAGGCGACGACGGGUAGCCGGCCUGAGAGGCGACCGGCCACACUGGGACUGAGACACGGCCCAGACUCCUACGGGAGGCAGCAGUGGGGAAUCUUGCGCAAUGGGCGAAAGCCUGACGCAGCGACGCCGCGUGAGGG